GACGAACGCUGGCGGCGCGCCUAACACAUGCAAGUCGAACGGAGUCAAGAGGAGCUUGCUUUUCUUGACUUCUUGGCGAACGGGUGAGUAACGCGUGAUUAACCUGCCCUGGCAUGGGGGACAACAGUUGGAAACGACUGCUAAUACCGCAUAAGCCCACGGUUCUGCAUGGUUCUGCGGUAAAAGGAUUUAUUCGCUCUAGGAUGGACUCGCGUCCAAUUAGCUAGUUGGUGAAGUAACGGCCCACCAAGGCGACGAUUGGUAGCCGGACUGAGAGGUUGAACGGCCACAUUGGGACUGAGACACUGCCCAGACUCCUACGGGAGGCAGCAGUGGAGGAUAUUGCACAAUGGGGGAAACCCUGAUGCAGCGACGCCGCGUGGAGGAAGAAGGUUUUCGGAUUGUAAACUCCUGUCGUUAGGGACGAUAAUGACGGUACCUAACAAGAAAGCACCGGCUAACUACGUG
rnacentral:rRNA from 1 species